CUCAGGCAGGGCUGGCCAACCAACAGGGUCAGCUCUGAGCCCGGCUUGGGAGCAAGUGGGGACAUGAAGCUGGUGGCAGCGGCUAAGACGAUUUCCCCGUGUCCUCCCAGAGCGACUUCAUGAGCAGCAGGAAGCCUCAGUACAAACUGUUGGUGACAGUGGCUGUAACUACAAAUCAGGCUGGUGUCUCUAUCACCGGCCUCUUCCUGCAGAACUCCAUGUUGGGGGUCAAAGUUCAAUUUCAAGCACCCACAUGUCAACUCACAGCUGUUUAUGUGAUCUGGUGCCCUCUUCUGACUUACAGAUGUAUGUGCAGACAAAACAUGGAUAAAAUACAGAAGGCCUGACUUCCGAUGGAUGCUGGGGCUCCAAACUCAUGACUGCUCGGCAAGUACUUAUCCAAUGGAGCUGGCUCCCCCAACCCCCUUCCGCUCUUCAGUCUCCCAGGAAUUAUCUGAAGCUUGUAGGAUUGAAGUUUGCCGCCAGGGAGCGCCUGCCAUGCAGUUCCCAAUAAUGUCAUCUCAAUGCCCUGAUACCACCCCCUCAGUCCUGAGCCGGCCUGAUACUGACAUCAUAAAAACAAGAAGAGACUCCCAGUCGAUGUACCAACUGCUGUCAAGACUGCAUUGCUCUGCUCUCCACUCAUUGGAUUUAUACUAGUGCCACCGGAGCAUAGGCUUUUAAAACUCUUACCUGGCUCUUAAACCAACUCGUGGCAGAAUAUGUGCUCACUCGCAUCCCGAGGAAACCCCACAGGGCACACUUACACCCACAUCCACGAAAUAGCACGAACCCAUGUCAAUGUGCUGAUCCUAAGUUUCCCUGACCAUCUCGGAAAGUGUCUUUCUCUACCACCGACCUCGUUAAGAGGCCCAACUCCAGUUCCCCAGAUGGAUUUUGAGUCCGACACAAUGACUGUAACUAGCAAGGCAUGGGUGAUGAUACCCUGGCAAUCAAUUCCACGAAAGCGGAUCAAAGCGUGGGUGCCUUGAAAGGUGAAGCCAGGUUGGCCGCCCACCUGAAGCUCUGGAAUACCUCUGGGCAGGAGGAUGUGGCAAUAGACUGAGCUCUUGUUUUAUAUGAAGUGAGUGUGGUGACAUUUGAAAACUUGCCCAAGGCCAAUGCAUACAGAUAUUAGUCCAAGUAUUACUCAGCUCUUGGAAUCCAUGAGACUUCAGUAAACUUAGCCUAAGGAAACAAUGUAGUCAAGAAUGUGCCUGACUACUAAGAUGGACAUGCACUCUCUUCCCUUACCAGGCAUUUGUGAGCUUUAAGUGAGUCCACAAGACCUGUUCACAUAGACUUGACAAAGAAUACUUAUUCUAUAAA